UACGUAGGGUGCAAGCGUUAAUCGGAAUUACUGGGCGUAAAGCGUGCGCAGGCGGUUUUGUAAGUCUGACGUGAAAUCCCCGGGCUAAACCUGGGAAUUGCGUUGGAGACUGCAAGGCUAGAAUCUGGCAGAGGGGGGUAGAAUUCCACGUGUAGCAGUGAAAUGCGUAGAGAUGUGGAGGAACACCGAUGGCGAAGGCAGCCCCCUGGGUCAAGAUUGACGCUCAUGCACGAAAGCGUGGGGAGCAAACAGG
rnacentral:rRNA from 1 species